UGGGAGGUCCACCAGCUUGGGCCUGGCUGAGCACAGUGAUGCGCGGAGACUGAGGCCGCGAGGCAACUGGAGCAGCAGGGCCGCCGGUCUCCCGGAAGCGGCACCGGUCGAAGUCCUCUGUCAACCGCGGCCCCCUCCCUCUCUGCAUGCAUCUGUCUGGAGGGCAGCCGGUGGACAUGACCGAUCCACCAGGAUGUCCGCCGGCCCUCGCAGGCUGCAGACAAAGAAGAAACCACGUCCCCACUUGACCUGGAGCGAGAGGGUGAACCAGACAGAGGAGGUGACCAGGGGCAAGGAAGUGACCCGGGAGGAGGAGUGUUCCAGGCCAAGGUCAAGGCCUCCACCCAGGAAAUG
rnacentral:other from 1 species